rnacentral:rRNA from 1 species
GACGAACGCUGGCGGCGUGCUUAACACAUGCAAGUCGAACGCUGAAGCUCAGCUUUUGUUGGGUGGAUGAGUGGCGAACGGGUGAGUAACACGUGAGUAACCUGCCCCCUUCUUUGGGAUAACGCCCGGAAACGGGUGCUAAUACUGGAUAUUCACUGGUCUUCGCAUGGGGGUUGGUGGGAAGGGCUUUUCUGGUGGGGGAUGGGCUCGCGGCCUAUCUGCUUGGUGGUGGGGUGAUGGCCUACCAAGGCUUUGACGGGUAUGCAGACUGAGAGGGUGACCGGUCACAUUGGGACGGUGAUACGGCCCAGACUCCGACGGGAGGCAGCAGUGGGGAAUAUUGCACAAUGGGCGCAAGCCUGAUGCAGCGACGGCGCGUGAGGGAUGGAGGCCGUCGGGUUGUGAACCUCUUUCGCUCAUGGUCAAGCCGCAACAAUGGUUGUGGUGAGGGUAGUGGGUAAAGAAGCGCCGGCUAACUACGUG